AGCAUCUUCCUCCUCUGACAUCAGAUUAUAGAGCAUCUUCCUCCUCUGACAUCAGAUUAUAGAGCAUCUUCCUCCUCUUGCAUCCGGAUUAUAGAGCAUCUUCCUCCUCUGAUCCA